rnacentral:rRNA from 1 species
GACGAACGCUGGCGGCGUGCCUAACACAUGCAAGUCGAACGGGGAGUUACUUGUAACUCCUAGUGGCGAACGGGUGAGUAACGCGUAGACAACCUGCCUCUAAAUUGGGGACAACACCGCGAAAGUGGUGCUAAUACCGAAUGUGGUAUCUUAGUCGCAUGACUGAGAUAAGAAAGGUGGCCUCUAUUUAUAAGCUACCGAUUAGAGAUGGGUCUGCGUCUGAUUAGCUAGUUGGUGAGGUAAUGGCUCACCAAGGCGACGAUCAGUAGCCGGUCUGAGAGGAUGAACGGCCACACUGGGACUGAGACACGGCCCAGACUCCUACGGGAGGCAGCAGUGGGGAAUCUUCCGCAGUGGACGAAAGUCUGACGGAGCAACGCCGCGUGAGUGAAGAAGGUCUUCGGAUUGUAAAGCUCUGUCGUUUGGGACGAACGUAUCUUGUGUGUAUAAUGCAGGGUAAUGACGGUACCAAAGGAGGAAGCCACGGCUAACUACGUGCCAGCAGCCGCAGUAA